rnacentral:lncRNA from 10 species
CCCGUGGUGGUGGUGCUGGGGGGCGGGGUCGGCGUGGGCAGAGCUGCGGGGGCUGCCGCGGAGGCCGCCCUAGGAGGGAGGGGGCGGACCGGGGUGUGAGGCAACUACAUUGUCGGCACUGCCCUAGGCUCCAGGGCCACAGAGACAACCAUAGCUUCAGCCUCCUGCUCCGAAUGACAUCUCUCAGAAAUCUUCCCUGACUGUCCAGGCGGAAUUAAUGGUUCACUUCCCUGUUCCUCUAUACCUUGAGCAUCCCUCUACAAUUGAAUGCUCCUUCAUUCCAUUUCAUUGCACCAGCAUGUAUCGAGGGUCUACUGUUAUCUAUCGCUGAAGAGAAUGAUUGCAAAAAACUUGAAUGAACAUGGAAAAUGCUGAUGAUCAGAUUUCCAUUGAAAAGAAAGGUGUGCUCCUUGGGGUGGGGGUGUUGUUGUAAUUGUCAGAAAAUGUUUAAUAAAAGAAACAGAAA